rnacentral:rRNA from 1 species
UACGUAGGUGGCAAGCGUUGUCCGGAUUUACUGGGCGUAAAGAGCGCGCAGGCGGUCGUUCAAGUCGCGUGUGAAAGCCCCCGGCUCAACUGGGGAGGGUCACGCGAUACUGAUCGACUCGAAGGCAGGAGAGGGUAGUGGAAUUCCCGGUGUAGUGGUGAAAUGCGUAGAUAUCGGGAGGAACACCAGUGGCGAAGGCGGCUUUUUGGUCUGUAACUGACGCUGAGGCGCGAAAGCGUGGGGAGCAAACAGG